ACCAUUGAAACCCUAUAUAUCACUCCUUCUCUCUCGAUUCUCUCUGCUUUUGUCUUGAGAAUAUCAUCAGCGACUGUGGCUUUUAUCUACUCUUCCGAUUAACAUCUGAUAACAUCAAGAAAGCUAGCUGAGACAGCUAGGAAUGAAAAUCAUAGGGCUUCGUGGUGGUGAUUUAUACUGAAAUUUGACGCUACAAGGCAAAGUCACCGGAAGAAAUCUCAAGUUGCAGCGAGCGACUGGCUAUUUAAAUUGUUGUAACUUUUUUCAUUUUAUGUUUUAUGUCCGUGCUUGAAUGCAACUCUUUCCCAUAUUGGUUGUUUUGCUUUUUCUUAGAACUUUAGGGGCACUUUACAUCAGUGAGAUUUGAUUAGAACGCUUAUGUUUUGUAAAUUAAAGUUUUUUUAAUUUUGUUUUUUACAUAACUAGGUUGUUAUGCUAGGCUUGAAUGUAGUAGUGAAAACAACCAUACUUUACAUGCCGUAGAUCGAGAAGUUCAAUAUAAGAUGUUAUGUUCAUGGUUUGGGAUGUUGGCUGCCAUGAGAAGUUGCAGCCUUUUUGGAAACAAAGGCAUAAUGUUUUAGUUUUGUAAAAACGUUUUGUUGUAUAGGUUUGCUAGACAACAAUGUAAGGCUCUGAAAUACGCUCUAAUGGGAUAUGAAUACUCUUUUACAAGUCUGAAUCAAACCAUCACUUGCUCUUACCCCAAAUCUUAUAGUAUGUGGAUUCUAAUCAAACUUAAAUUAUAUAUGAUAGUAUAACAAGUAUUAUACAGUCUUCAACGUUAUUGGAGUGUGGAUUGUAUUGAUGACAAAAGGGUUUGUUGUAGAAAGGAAGAUAAUGUAUGAUAUCUUCAGUCAAAGGAAUGCAUAUCAUUAGUUUGAUAUUUAACGACCUAGGGAUGGUAGUGUUCUAACAGUAAUGUGCUUUGUUAGGGAAACACUAGCAGUGGUCACCGACGAUUUGAAGAAACUGAUCGGAGGCGUCGUUGGGCAAUCCAUGGCAUCCUCUGUUAGUCUCCACUUCGGAAAACAUAUCGUGCCCGAUACACCGUUUCAUUCUAUUGGAAUGCAUUAAUGUGGCUGAACAAAAGAUGAUACAAGUGCACAACAAUAGAAUCGGAGAUGAUAAAAUGAUAGGUAUGUACAUUGCUUUUGAUCAGGUCCAUCCAUCAAUCUUCGACUAGCUGAUAAGAAAAUAAGAAAUGUCAGGAACAAAGUGUCACGGCCCCCGACCCAGUUUCUCGGUUCGAAUGCCGCGGGACAGAAACCCGUGGUAUUGGUAUUUAAUUUGGCAGCGGAAAUUUUAACAGGUUCAUUUAAACUGAAAAUACCCAAUUAUUUUAUUUCAAGUUUUGGGAUAAACCCCGUAAUUUACAAUAAAGGAUUUUCACUGGGAAAUCCCCUGAUUACAGAAAACAUUACUGAGCCACUUUAUCCAAGCUGGUAGUGCUACACGGCACUUUUCCUUGUUUACAGUAAAUCACCUGAAACAUGUUUAAAAAGAUUUUAUCAGCGGGGAAAAACUGGUGAGUUAUUCAAUUUGCACAAAAUGACAUAUUGUUAUAAUUUACAGCAUUAAGAAUUUUCACAUUUUCCCCUAUCUUAUAAUUAGCUGGUUCAGGUGUCACUCGACCGGAUCUAUGACUGUGGUCAUACCACUAUUGGGUCCUGUUACCCAAUAGUGACGUAUAUCACUAAUUAGGCUCACCCAACUGAAGUGAUAGAAACAGCAGUAAUGUGCACAAUACCCCAUUUACUGCCAGUAACUUAAGAUUAGUAAAGACUUAAUCACUGCAAAAUAUAACUGGAAAACAUUUAGGGUUUUCAAAGCAAUUUGAUAA